rnacentral:lncRNA from 1 species
GACAGUGUGAUUUCUAGCUUUAACUCCACCAUUUCGAAUGCUAAUCCUCUUAGAAUAGAUAAAAUGACGUGGAACAAAACCUGUAAUGGGCUAUUCUCUACCAAGUCUUCUUACUCCAUGGUCCUUGAGCAAUCUGUUAAACUGUGCCACAAUCCAGAAAGGGAAUUCAACUGGAUUUGGUCAAAAAAAUGUGCCAAACAAAAUCAAAUACUUCUUAUGGUUGUUGACUCAUGACAGACUUCCUUUUAGCAAACACCUGCAUUAAAGGGGGAUCAAUCUGAACCCUAGUUGCUUCUUUUAUAACAAACAGGAGGAAUCCAUUGAGCAUGUCAUAGUCAAUUGUAGACAAUACCAAACUAUUUUGGGAUAACCUAGCCCACAUGAGCCUCAAUAACCAUAAUAUCAAACUUCAGUUAUCUCCUCAAAUGGAGUGAGUUGAUUCCAUUCUGCUUAUGGAAGAUUUGGCUCACUAGAAACAACAAUUGUUUUAAUGAGAAAAGAGAGCCAGUUGUAAGAAUGCCAUAACUAGAGUUGUUAAAUUCAUUCAUAUGGCUGGAGGAUGCACUGACAUACCCACCAUCGUCUUACAAAUCAAGUGGCAUCCUCCCAGGAGAGGCCACUAUAAACUCAACACAGACAGUGCCACUCUCCAAAAGGGGUUUAUAGGAGGAUUAAGAGGAGUAAUAUAAAAUAUCAGUAGGGAUUGGGUUAUGGAAUUCAUGGGAAAAAUAAAUUACACCAACACUCUCCACUCUUAACUAACAACUAUCAUGCAGGGACUAAGAAUGGCAGUCUCAAACAAUUUCAUACCCUUGAAAGUUAACAUAGAUUGAACUGAGGUAAUACACUGUAUCAAUAAAGGCAACCUGAUUUAUGAAACUAUUAUAUGUGAAUGCAGGUCACUCCUAGCAGCACUGGGGCAUCCUUAAGUAAAUCACAUCUACAGAGAAGCCAAUAAGGUAGCAGACAAGCUGGCCAAGGAAGCAAGCAAGAUGACAGAAACAACAACAAACUCUUUGAUAGUUCCUCCGGUGUUUGCCAAUGAAGCAAUAUGGGCAGACAACCUAGGAACUAUGUUUGAAAAAAAUAAGGGGUUGUAAUAUUUCUAAUGUAGAAAUAGACUACACGUUUUAUGUGCAGGUUGAUAUCUCUCCAUAUGCUUCUGUUGUAACUAACAUCCAAGUCACUGAAGUUUUAAAGUUUAAAACUUUAGUAACUUUUAAAGAUGUAUGAACUACAAAGCAAAGCAAAAUAAUUAUAAUUUAAAAUUUUCAACAAUCAAAAGUAAAGUAAUAACGAGACAACAACAAUAUAACAAAAUGACCAAAAGAGUUUUCGUUUAAAUAUGUCCGAUUUGGAUACUGUAGAAUACCUUUUCAAGAAGAUGAAGAUCUGCUCUCAACCUCUCUCUUGUUUACCAUAGUUAAACAAGUACCAUAAGAGGGGAGCCAUAAAAGGUAAGCAGGUCAUUGAUUGAUUGAGGAAACGAUGGAUUGCAGUCAUCUAGGAUUUUGUGGGAUUAGGGUUCUCGAGAUGAGAGAGGUGAGAAGAGGAGAGAAUGGAGGCGGCGGCAGAGAGGUAAUGUGGUUUUGGGUUUGAAAGGGGUUUAUAAGAAAGGGAG